UACAGAGGGUGCAAGCGUUGUUCGGAAUUAUUGGGCGUAAAGAGCUCGUAGGCGGUUUGUCGCGUCUGCUGUGAAAACUCGGGGCUUAACCCCGGGCCUGCAGUGGGUACGGGCAGACUAGAGUGCGGGUAGGGGAGACUCGGAAUUCCUGGUGUAGCGGUGAAAAUGCGCAGAUAUCAGGAGGAACACCGGUGGCGAAGGCGGGUCUCUGGGCCGUA
rnacentral:rRNA from 1 species